UAGGGAAUCUUCGGCAAUGGACGAAAGUCUGACCGAGCAACGCCGCGUGAGUGAAGAAGGUUUUCGGAUCGUAAAACUCUGUUGUUAGAGAAGAACAAGGACGUUAGUAACUGAACGUCCCCUGACGGUAUCUAACCAGAAAGCCACGGCUAACUACGUGCCAGCAGCCGCGGUAAUACGUAGGUGGCAAGCGUUGUCCGGAUUUAUUGGGCGUAAAGCGAGCGCAGGCGGUUUCUUAAGUCUGAUGUGAAAGCCCCCGGCUCAACCGGGGAGGGUCAUUGGAAACUGGGAGACUUGAGUGCAGAAGAGGAGAGUGGAAUUCCAUGAGUAGCGGUGAAAUGCGUAGAUAUAUGGAGGAAAACCAGUGGCGAAGGCGGCUCUCUGGUCAGUAACUGACGCUGAGGCUCGAAAGCGUGGGGAGCAAACAGG
rnacentral:rRNA from 1 species